rnacentral:rRNA from 1 species
UCUACGGGAGGCAGCAGUUGGGAAUCUUCGGCAAUGGGCGCAAGCCUGACCGAGCAACGCCGCGUGAGUGAUGAAGGUUUUCGGAUUGUAAAGCUCUGUCUUCCGGGACGAUAAUGACGGUACCGGAGGAGGAAGCCACGGCUAACUACGUGCCAGCAGCCGCGGUAAUA